AUGUGUUUCAUUCCUCUCCGUUGUCUCUCUGUUGUCCUGCUGGGAGACUUCAAUGCUCACGUGGGUAACAACAGCGAGACCUGGAGGGGCGUGAUCGGGAGGAACGGCCUCCCUGAUCUGAACCCGAGUGGUGUUUUGUUAUUGGACUUCUGUGCAAAUCACAGUUUGGCCAUAAUGAACACCUUGUUCGAACGUAAGAGUGUCCAUAAGUGCACGUGGCACCAGGACGCUCUAGGCCGCAGGUCGAUGAUCGAUUUUGUAAUCGUAUCACCAGACCUGCGACCAUAUGUUCUGGACACUCGGGUAAAGAGAGGGGCUGAGCUGUCAACUGAUCACCACCUGGUGGUGAGUUGGAUCAGGUGGCGGGGGAGGACGCUGGACAGACCUGGUGCACCUAAACGUGUAGUGAGGGUGUGCUGGGAACGUCUAGCAGAGGCCCCAGUCCGCGAGAUCUUCAACGCACACCUCCGGCAGAGCUUCAACAGCAUUCCGAGGGAGACUGGGGACAUUGAGUUCGAAUGGACCAUGUUCAGCGUCUCCAUCGCCGAAGCUGCUGCAUUGAGCUGCGGUCGCAAGGUGGUUGGUGCCUGCCGUGGUGGUAAUCCCCGAACCAAAUGGUGGACACCAGAGGUGAAGGGAGCCACCAAGCUGAAGAAGGAGUCCUAUCGGGCUUGGUUAGCCUGUGAGACUCCGGAGGCAGCCGACAGGUAUCGACAGGCCAAGCGGAAUGCGGCUCGGGCAGUGGCUGAAGCAAAAACUCGGGUGUGGGAGGAGUUCGGAGAAGCCAUGGAAAAAGACUUUCGGACUGCCUCGAAGAGAUUCUGGCAAACCGUCAGGCGUCUCAGGAGGGGAAAGCGGUGCUCUACCUGCACUGUGUAUAGUGCUGGCGGAGCGCUGCUGACGUCGACUGAGAAAAUUGUCAGGCGGUGGAAGGAAUACUUCGAGGACCUCCUUAAUCCCACUGACACGUCUUCCGAGGAGGAAGCAGAGUCUGGGGAUGAGGGGAAUGACCCGCCAAUUUCCGGGGACGAGGUCACUGAGGCAGUUAAACAACUGCUUGGUGGCAGAGCCCCUGGUGUUGAUGAGGUCCGCCCCGAGUUCCUGAUGGCUCUGGACGUUGUGGGGCUGUCUUGGUUGACACGCCUCUGCAAUGUUGCGUGGAGAUCAGGGGCAGUAUUUGAAACUCUGUUUCAAAUACUGAGCCUCAGUAAAGAUUCAAGCUGCAUUUAUUUAUAUUUCCUGUCACCUUAA
rnacentral:lncRNA from 1 species